rnacentral:rRNA from 1 species
GAUGAACGCUGGCGGCGUGCCUAAUACAUGCAAGUCGAGCGAACAGACGAGGAUCUUGCUCCUCUGACGUUAGCGGCGGACGGGUGAGUAACACGUGGAUAACCUACCUAUAAGACUGGGAUAACUUCGGGAAACCGGAGCUAAUACCGGAUAAUAUAUUGAACCGCAUGGUUCAAUAGUGAAAGACGGUUUUGCUGUCACUUAUAGAUGGAUCCGUGCCGCAUUAGCUAGUUGGUAAGGUAACGGCUUACCAAGGCGACGAUGCGUAGCCGACCUGAGAGGGUGAUCGGCCACACUGGAACUGAGACACGGCCCAGACUCCUACGGGAGGCAGCAGUAGGGAAUCUUCCGCAAUGGGCGAAAGCCUGACGGAGCAACGCCGCGUGAGUGAUGAAGGUCUUCGGAUCGUAAAACUCUGUUAUUAGGGAAGAACAAAUGUGUACGUAAAUAUGCACGUGUUGACGGUACCUAAUCAGAAAGCCACGGCUAACUACGUG